rnacentral:rRNA from 1 species
GUGGGGAAUUUUGGACAAUGGGCGCAAGCCUGAUCCAGCAAUGCCGCGUGCAGGAAGAAGGCCUUCGGGUUGUAAACUGCUUUUGUACGGAACGAAACGGUCCGGGUUAAUACCCUGGGCUAAUGACGGUACCGUAAGAAUAAGCACCGGCUAACUACGUGCCAGCAGCCGCGGUAAUACGGAGGGUGCGCGCGUUAAUCGGAAUUACUGGGCGUAAAGCGUGCGCAGGCGGUGUUGUAAGACAGGCGUGAAAUCCCCGGGCUCAACCUGGGAAUUGCGCUUGUGACUGCAGUGAUGGAGUACGGCAGAGGGGGAUGGAAUUCCGCGUGUAGCAGUGAAAUGCGUAGAUAUGCGGAGGAACACCGAUGGCGAAGGCAGUCCCCUGGGCCUGUACUGACGCUCAUGCACGAAAGCGUGGGGAGCAAACAGGAUUAGAUACCCGUGUAGUCC